rnacentral:guide_RNA from 1 species
AUAUAUAAUGUGUACGACAAUCAUAAUAUAGGUCAGAGAGUGUUGUUGA